rnacentral:rRNA from 1 species
GAUGAACGCUGGCGGCGUGCCUAAUACAUGCAAGUCGAGCGAACGGACGAGAAGCUUGCUUCUCUGAUGUUAGCGGCGGACGGGUGAGUAACACGUGGAUAACCUACCUAUAAGAAUGGGAUAACUUCGGGAAACCGGAGCUAAUACCGGAUAAUAUUUUGAACCGCAUGGUUCAAAAGUGAAAGACGGUCUUGCUGUCACUUAUAGAUGGAUCCGCGCUGCAUUAGCUAGUUGGUAGGGUAACGGCUUACCAAGGCAACGAUGCAUAGCCGACCUGAGAGGGUGAUCGGCCACACUGGAACUGAGACACGGUCCAGACUCCUACGGGAGGCAGCAGUAGGGAAUCUUCCGCAAUGGGCGAAAGCCUGACGGAGCAACGCCGCGUGAGUGAUGAAGGUCUUCGGAUCGUAAAACUCUGUUAUUAGGGAAGAACAUAUGUGUAAGUAACUGUGCACAUCUUGACGGUACCUAAUCAGAAAGCCACGGCUAACUACGUG